CAGACUAUACUGCAGUCGAGCGAAUGGAUUAAGAGCUUGCUCCUUAUGAAGUUAGCGGCGGACGGGUGAGUAACACGUGGGUAACCUGCCCAUAAGACUGGGAUAACUCCGGGAAACCGGGGCUAAUACCGGAUAACAUUUUGAACCGCAUGGUUCGAAAUUGAAAGGCGGCUUCGGCUGUCACUUAUGGAUGGACCCGCGUCGCAUUAGCUAGUUGGUGAGGUAACGGCUCACCAAGGCAACGAUGCGUAGCCGACCUGAGAGGGUGAUCGGCCACACUGGGACUGAGACACGGCCCAGACUCCUACGGGAGGCAGCAGUAGGGAAUCUUCCGCAAUGGACGAAAGUCCGACGGAGCAACGCCGCGUGAGUGAUGAAGGCUUUCGGGUCGUAAAACUCUGUUGUUAGGGAAGAACAAGUGCUAGUUGAAUAAGCUGGCACCUUGACGGUACCUAACCAGAAAGCCACGGCUAACUACGUGCCAGCAGCCGCGGUAAUACGUAGGUGCCAAGCGUUAUCCGGAAUUAUCGGGCGUAAAGCGCGCGCAGGUGGUUUCUUAAGUCUGAUGUGAAAGCCCACGGCUCAACCGUGGAGGGUCAUUGGAAACUGGGAGACUUGAGUGCAGAAGAGGAAAGUGGAAUUCCAUGUGUAGCGGUGAAAUGCGUAGAGAUAUGGAGGAACACCAGUUGGCGAAGGCCGACUUUUCUGGUCUGUAACUGACACUGAGGCGGCGAAAGCCGUGGGGAAGCAAACCAGGAUUAGAUACCCUGGGUAGUCCAACGCCGUAAACCGAUGGAGUGGCUAAGUGUGUAGAAGGGUUUCCGCCCUUUAGUUGCUGAAGGUAACGCCAUUAAGCCACUCCCCCUGGGGAGUACGGCCGCAAGGCUGAAACUUCAAAGGAAUUGACGGGGGCCCGCACAAGCGGUGGAACAUGUGGUUUAAUUCGAAGCAACGCGAAGAACCUUACCCAGGUCUUGACAUCCUCUCGACAACCCCAAGAGAUAGGGCUUCUCCUUCGGGAGCAAAAUGACAGGGUGGUGCAUGGGUGUCUGUCAGCCUCCUGUCCUUGAAAUGUUGGGUUAAGUCCCCCACCAAGGGCGCAACCCUUGAACUUAAGUGCCACUUCAUUAAAUUUGGGACAUUCAAAGGGGACUGCCGGGGACCAACCCGAAGAAAGGGGGGGGUGGCGUUCAAUUCUCCAGCCCCCUUUUGCCUUGGCUUCCCCCCUUCUUCCAAUGGCGGUUCCAAAGAGCGCCAAGCCCGGGAGGGGAAGUUAUUUUCUUAAACCGGUUUUCAUUUGGGAUGUUGGGUGCCACUUGGCUUCCAGGAAGCGGAAAUCGUUGUUAUUCGGGGAUCACCAGGCCCCGGGGAUUAGGUUCCCGGCCUUGGUCCCCCCCCCCGGCCCCCCCCGGAGAUUUGGUACCCCCCGAGUUGGGGGGGUUACCCUUUGGAGCCAGCCGCCUAAGGUGGGACAGAUGAUUGGGGUGAAGUCGAACAAGAGCCCACG
rnacentral:rRNA from 1 species